rnacentral:piRNA from 1 species
UCCUCUUAGGUUCCUUGAUUGGCACAUAAUC